AGGGGAGAAGCAGAGAGAGAGGGAGACACAGAAUCUGAAGCAGGCUCCAGGCUCCGAGCAGUCAGCACAGAGCCCGACGCGAGGCUCGAACUCAUGAACUGUGAGAUCAUGACCUGAGCCAAAGUCAUACACUUAACUGACUGAGCCACCCAGGUGCUGCUCGUGGCCUACAUUUUUUUUUUAAUUUUUUUUUUCAAUGUUUAUUUAUUUUUGGGUCAGAGAGAGACAGAGCAUGAACGGGGGAGGGGCAGAGAGAGAGGGAGACACAGAAUCGGAAACAGGCUCCAGGCUCCGAGCCAUCAGCCCAGAGCCUGACGCGGGGCUCGAACUCACGGACCGCGAGAUCGUGACCUGGCUGAAGUCGGAUGCUUAACCGACUGCGCCACCCAGGCGCCCCAUGUGGCCUACAUUUUUAACGGACACAAGGGAGAGUGGGAGCCCCGUAGUGUCCACGCUGUGGAUCAGCUCUCAGGGACAAGAGUGCAGGGGCCCAAGGACAGGGCCUCGCAGCCUAGCCAGGGACGUGGUAACACCCGCGUGGGAGCUGGGAGCCGCCACACGGUGUCUCAAGAGGGUAGGAGGCUGGGGACUGCCUUCGGGACUCACCGCCCACCACACAGACGCACAUCCUUGUCACCCUGUCCUUUGCAUCCCUUAGGAAGUGGCCCUCCCUCCCCCGUACGUACAGAAGCUGCCCUUAGGGGGCGUUAAGGUAGAAGGACAGUGAUCGUCUCAUGAGGCGCUGGACCCCGAACCCGAGACUCAGAGCCACAGCGACACUCCCGGGAGUUCUCUGGUGCGGGGGCCUGGUGAGAGGUUGCGCGUUCCGACGACGGGUCCUGGCUGGAGCCCCUUGUUGGCUGGCCCAUCGGCGGAGCGCGGGAAAACACACGAAAACAACCGCUGCCGAGAUCGGCCCGUUGUUCCUCAGCCGUCUCUGGGAAUGGCUCAGUCCUGCCCCGCCUGCCAACUGUGUGGGCACCCAUGCCACCUCCCCACUGCCAGGAGAGGCCGAGGCAGGCAGAGGCCAGGGGAGACGUCAGCGGCCUCGAGCUC
rnacentral:lncRNA from 1 species